rnacentral:rRNA from 1 species
GAUCCUGCCGGACCUGACUGCUAUCGGAUUGAUACUAAGCCAUGCGAGUCAUUGUAGCAAUACAAGGCAGACGGCUCAGUAACGCGUACUCAACCUACCCUAUGGACGGGAAUAACCUCGGGAAACUGAGUAUAAUGCCCGAUAGAACACUAUACCUGGAAUGGUUUGUGUUUCAAAUGAUUUAUUGCCAUAGGAUGGGACUGCGGCCUAUCAGUUUGUUGGUGAGGUAAUGGCCCACCAAGACUAUUACAGGUACGGGCUCUGAGAGGAGUGGCCCGGAGAUGGGUACUGAGACACGGACCCAGGCCCUAUGGGGCGCAGCAGGCGAGAAAACUUUGCAAUGUGCGAAAACACGACAAGGUUAAUCCGAGUGGUUUCUGCUAAAUGAACCUUUUGACAGUCCUAGAAACACUGUUGAAUAAGGGGUGGGCAAGUUCUGGUGUCAGCUGCCGCGGUAAAACCAGCACCUCAAGUGGUCAGGAUGAUUAUUGGGCCUAAAGCAUCCGUAGCCGGCUCAGUAAGUUUUCGGUUAAAUCUGUACGCUUAACGUACAGGCUGCCGGGAAUACUGCAGAGCUAGGGAGUGGGAGAGGUAUACGGUACUCGGGAGGAAGUGGUAAAAUGCUUUGAUCUUUCGAUGACCACCUGUGGCGAAGGCGGUCUACCAGAACACGUCCGACGGUGAGGGAUGAAAGCUGGGGGAGCAAACCGGAUUAGAUACCCGGGUAGUCCCAGCUGUAAACUAUGCAAACUCAGUGAUGCAUUGGCUUGUGGCCAAUGCAGUGUUGCAGGGAAGCCGUUAAGUUUGCCGCCUGGGAAGUACGUACGCAAGUAUGAAACUUAAAGGAAUUGGCGGGGGA